rnacentral:rRNA from 1 species
ACAGGAUUCCCCUAGUAGCGGCGAGCGUUUCCCGGGAAGAGCUCAAAUUUAUAAUCUGCCACCUUCGGUGUCCGAGUUGUAAUCUCUAGAAAUGUUUUCCGCGUUGGACCGCACACAAGUCUGUUGGAAUACAGCGGCAUAGUGGUGAGACCCCCGUAUAUGGUGCGGACGCCCAGCGCUUUGUGAUACAUUUUCGAAGAGUCGAGUUGUUUGGGAAUGCAGCUCAAAUUGGGUGGUAAAUUCCAUCUAAAGCUAAAUAUUGGCGAGAGACCGAUAGCGAACAAGUACCGUGAGGGAAAGAUGAAAAGCACUUUGGAAAGAGAGUUAACAGUACGUGAAAUUGUUGGAAGGGAAACGCUUGAAGUCAGACUUGCUUGCCGAGCAAUCGGUUUGCAGGCCAGCAUCAGUUUUCCGGGAUGGAUAAUGGUAGAGAGAAGGUAGCAGUUUCGGCUGUGUUAUAGCUCUCUGCUGGAUACAUCUUGGGGGACUGAGGAACGCAGUGUGCCUUUGGCGGGGGUUUCGACCUCUUCACACUUAGGAUGCUGGUGGAAUGGCUUUAAACGACCCGUCUUGGAAACACGGACCA